rnacentral:rRNA from 1 species
GACGAACGCUGGCGGCGUGCCGUAAUACAUGCAAGUCGUGCGCCUGGAACGUUUCCUUCGGGAGACGGACCGGGAGCGGCGGACGGGUGAGUAACACGUAGGCAACCUGCCCGCAGGACCGGGAUAACUGGCGGAAACGUCAGCUAAUACCGGAUAAUGGUUUUCCCGCAUGGGGGAAUCGUGAAAGGUGCUUCGGCACCACCUGUGGAUGGGCCUGCGGCGCAUUAGCUGGUUGGCGGGGUAACGGCCCACCAAGGCGACGAUGCGUAGCCGACCUGAGAGGGUGAUCGGCCACACUGGGACUGAGACACGGCCCAGACUCCUACGGGAGGCAGCAGUAGGGAAUCUUCGGCAAUGGACGAAAGUCUGACCGAGCAACGCCGCGUGAGUGAGGAAGGUCUUCGGAUCGUAAAGCUCUGUUGCCAAGGAAGAAACUCCGGGAGAGGGAAUGCUCCCGGAUUGACGGUACCUGAGAAGAAAGCCCCGGCUAACUACGUG